AUGCCGCCGGUCGACUUAAAUAGCCGGGCUAGGCACUACGCGGCCCGCCGGAGCGGCACCAUGCGGCGACAUAGGUCCGACGGAGGAGACGAGUUUCGGACCACCGGGCUUCCGGACGUUUUCGCGUGGGACCCCGCCCAGUACGACGUGGCGGCCUGCCCGGGCGUCCCAUAUCCGUCUCAUAUUUGGGCUGAAUCACAACUGGAGCCAAUGAAGUUUUCAGAUCCCAAUAAUUGCUUUCCUGACUAGCAAAGGUGUUGUAUACAUUUUGUAUGUAACAUGAUGCAAUUUUUGUCAUUGAAAUUGGCUAAAGUUUCUGCAAACACAAGCUUAGUACAAUUAUAUGGAUAUAUAGCAGUGCGAGAUUCUCGGGAUUUGUUGCUUAAUUAUAUUGUCAAUCGUAGCAGGGACGAUCCCAUUGUGGUGAAACAGGGUUCUCUCAUUGAGAUGACUGGCCCUAAGAGGGGCAUUUUAAUAUGAGGAUCAAGACAGGAGGGCAAAAAGAAGAUGAUGAUCUACAACUUAUCGACGGUGUAGUAGAGUACAUCAAAGCAAAUGCACCUUUUCGUCCAUUCACAGAGCGCAUUAAUGGUAAUUGUGGCGCGGUUGACAUCACUUUAGCACGCGUUCCCGAUGCAGUGGAGGCCACAAUAGAUGUUAUCAUAUAAAAAAUGCAGAGUGGAUUCGAUUUAUCUCUCAGUUCGUUUGUGUUUAUCGGUGGGUCACAUAAGGAGAUUGAGCUCUUUUGUGGUAUUAUUGGUAAGUCAUGUGGUUUAACAAGAAGGCAUGUGAUUGCUAUACAGGAGGAUACUUGGAUGUAUUUGAAGCUCAAGGUAGGUCAGAAAGGCUCUAAUUACAAUGAUGUAGAACGGUAUUGUCAAUUCAAAGCAAACAUUCAUGUGAAAACAGUGAUUUCGGGCCCUGCCCACCAUCUAUCCAUCCCCUGCCCUCGUCUCCCACCCACCCACCCCGAUCCCUUCACUCCCCUCGCCAUCCGGCAUCGUGCCGCCAUCCACCUCGUCUCCCCGAUCCAGAUGGAGAUCCAAAGCCCUAGGCCGCUCUCCCCCGCUCCGCCUCCGUGUCCAUGGCGACGGACGCGCCUCCCCCCUCCGGCGCGCAAGAGCCCGGGGCCUCAGCCGGCGGCGGACCACCCUGAAGACGACGCCCGGCCGCUGCCGGCGGGGUACAUCUUCAUGUGGAGCGGCGAGACCAGGCCCGAGUGCUUCAGGUACAGGGUGCUGGGCCUACCGUGGGGGAAGCUGGACGCCGUCUCCCGGAUCAGGCGCAGCGCCGCGCUCUUCCUCUACGACUUCCACGCCAAGUACCUCUACGGGCCCUACCGCGCCAAGACGGUGCGCGCGCUGCUGGCGGGGCUCGGCGAGGACGACCGCCGAGAGGGGCUGCGCAGGACGCCCAAGCGCGUCGCCAAGGCAUUCCGCGACGGCACCCGAGGUGACCAUUUUUGCUGCCGCCACCGCUGUGCCGGUUGGAGGUGCUGCUGCUGCAUCUGGCGGAGCUGCAGCUGCCGCCCCAAAGGGCAACCUUCAUCAGACACAACCCCAUAACAGGGCCUCAAGAUUCUGAACAUGCAAGCAAAUCUGCAGGAGUAAACAAGUUCUUGUAUUUGGAUAUCAUCUGUACCCUUCUAUUAUGAGUUGAUUGCACAUGAUUGGGCUGUGCUUCCUCUGAUUACAUUCAGAAUUGUUUGAUGUUAAUGAUGAUGAUAUACUAGGAGCAUUACUUUCACCUACAAUAAUUGGCUCAGUUUAAUAUAGUAUAACCGACAGAACAUCUACAAUUCCAGUCAUGAUUGCUCUGUACUGUUAAGAACAAAGACUCAUUUUGACAGUUUGUUUUUUGUUUGUGCUAUCCUCUAUUGAAUGAAUUCAAUAAAGUUCUCAGAAUUCUGCCUGGCCUUCUACUAGUCCAAAUCUGAAGUAGUAUUACUAAUGUUGUUAAGUUGUCUAAACAUGCUUGCUGCUAGCUUUAAAGUUGAUCUAAAGAACCAUUCAUGCAUUUACACAUUCAUGAUUUCCUACUCUGUUUGUAAUUGUUCUGGUUAACUGUGCUAGUAGAUAUUGCCUGGGAUUUGUAGCUGGUGUCUGUUGUGUCAUGUUAAGUCCUUAGUGUUCAGUACAUGGUACAUAUAGAGCUGCGUACAGUAGUUACAAGAGUCGAUCGUGGCGAGAGAUUAUUAUUUCUUCCUCAUACUAAUAUCUGGUUUACAAUGUGGCGAGAUUGUCAAGUUUGUAAGCUUUUCAUCACACAACCCUUUUCCUCCUCAUAUGGAGUUGCUCUGUUGUACCAAAAAUGUUAUCUAUUCGUAUGUGCUUGUACAAAAGGAUACAAUUAUUAAUUGUCUAGUUACGAUUUUUAGCAUUUGUUGUGCUUCCUAGGGACACCGAUCUCUUCUCUUCUAUAUAACCCACACUGAUCUUUAUUGUUUGAUUGACUGGAAGAAGUUUUGAUGUAGUUUUUUUAAUCAUGCAGGAGUUUACUUUGGAUGACAAAUGUGUGUAAAUCAUCCACCUCCUCAAUGAUGCUAACCCAAUCCGAUCAUCGUCGACACUAUCAUCAUCAGGAUCUAAUGUUGUUUGGGCUGCUGUUGCUGUGACGGAAGAUCGGAAGAGGCAUGGAGAUGCGCACCACAGUUUUAGUUGAUGUUGCACCAUGUUUUGGUGCUUGUGUAUCUGUUUUUGCUUGUAAGCACACUUGUAUGUGCUUGUGUAUCGUGCUUGUGUAUUUGUUUUUGCUUGUUUUAGUUGAUGUUGGACGUGCGGACUUGUAUGUGCUGUUGUGUAUUUGGCUGAAUGAUUUCUGAAUUUAAUCAUUUAGUCAAGAGAA